AUACGGAGGACGCGAGCGUUAUCCGGAUUCAUUGGGUUUAAAGGGUGCGCAGGCGGCCGUGCAAGUCAGCGGUGAAAGCCCGGGGCUCAACCCCGGAAGUGCCGUUGAUACUGCAUGGCUGGAAUGCGGUCGAGGCGGGCGGGACGUGGCGUGUAGCGGGGGAAUGCGUAGAUAUGCCACAGAACGCCGAUAGCGGGGGCAGCUCGCCAGGCCUGCAUUGACGCUCGGGCACGAAAGCGUGGGGAUCGAACAGGAUUAGAUACCCGGGUAGUCCACGCCGUAAACGAUGGGCGCUCGUCGUCGGCGGCAGACAGUCGGCGGCCAAGCGAAAGCGAUAAGCGCCCCACCUGGGGAGUACGGUCGCAAGGCUGAAACUCAAAUGAAUUGACGGGG
rnacentral:rRNA from 1 species